rnacentral:misc_RNA from 1 species
AUUGAGAAGUGUUUCAACUACUUCGUGCAAGCUAGUUCUUGCAUCACUUCCCUGGGCUUUGCUUGUGGAUGCAUCUUCGUCGUGUUUUUGAGAUGCCUCAAAAGUUAUAUCCUCUAUGGGUUCUUCUUCCUCUUUUUGUGUUGAGGAUUCCUCUUCCCCUACGCCCACAGCGUGUGGUAUAUUUAAACUGACGGCUCUUUCGAUUGCAUCCUUGUGCUCUUUUUCUAAUGUCUUCAGUCUUUCGAAUUUCUGCACUUUAGGGGGAGAAGUGGUGGUCUCCG